rnacentral:rRNA from 1 species
AUUGAACGCUGGCGGCAGGCCUAACCCAUGCAAGUCGAGCGAGCGGCGGACGGGUGAGUAUAGUCUGGGAAACUGCCUGAUGGCGGGGGAUAACUACUGGAAACGGUAGCUAAUACCGCACACCAUCAGAUGUGCCCACAUGGGAUUAGCUAGUAGGUGGGGUAACGGCGCACCUGGGCGGCGCUCCCUAGCUGGUCUGAGAGGAUGACCAGCGACACUGGAACUGGGACACGGCCCAGACUCCUACGGGAGGCAGCAGUGGGGAAGAUUGCACAGUGGGCGCAAGCCUGAUGCAGCACUGCCGCGUGUGUGAAGAAGGCCUUCGGGUUGUAAAGCACUUUCAGCGGGGAGGCGUUACCCGCAGAAGAAGCACCGGCUAACUCCGUGCCAGCAGCCGCGGUAAUUC